rnacentral:rRNA from 1 species
UACGUAGGUGGCAAGCGUUGUCCGGAUUUACUGGGCGUAAAGAGCGCGCAGGCGGUCGUUUAAGUCGAAUGUGAAAGCCCCCGGCUCAACUGGGGAGGGUCAUUCGAUACUGAUCGACUCGAAGGCAGGAGAGAGAAGUGGAAUUCCCGGUGUAGUGGUGAAAUGCGUAGAUAUCGGGAGGAACACCAGUGGCGAAGGCGACUACCUGGCCUGUUCUUGACGCUGAGGCGCGAAAGCUAGGGGAGCAAACGGG